rnacentral:rRNA from 1 species
UUUUGACCUCGAAUCAGGUGGGACUACCCGCUGAACUUAAGCAUAUCAAUAAGCGGAGGAAAAGAAACUAACAAGGAUUCCCCUAGUAACGGCGAGUGAAGUGGGAUGAGCUCAAAUUUAAAAUCUGGUAGUCUUUGGCUGCCCGA